AACGCACAUUGCGCCCUUUGGUAUUCCGAAGGGCAUGCCUGUUCGAGCGUCAUUAUCAACCCUCAAGCCCGGCUUGUUAUUGGGUCCUUAUCGUUAAAGAUAGGCCCGAAAGAUAAUGGCGGCGUCAACAAUGACCCCAGAUGCAGCGAGCUUAUAGCAUACAUCGAAAGGUUUUGUUGUCCCGGCCUCUUUUUGCUUCGGCAAAGAUUUUUCAAAGGUUGACCUCGGAUCAGGUAGGAAUACCCGCUGAACUUAA
rnacentral:misc_RNA from 1 species